rnacentral:rRNA from 1 species
AUUGAACGCUGGCGGCGUGCCUAACACAUGCAAGUCGAGCGGUAACAGGUGUAGCAAUACAUGCUGACGAGCGGCGGACGGGUGAGUAACGCUUGGGAAUCUGCCUGUUAGUGGGGGACAACCCGGGGAAACUCGGGCUAAUACCGCAUACGCACUACGGUGGAAAGCCGGGGACCGCAAGGCCUGGCGCUAACAGAUGAGCCCAAGUCGGAUUAGCUAGUUGGUAAGGUAAUGGCUUACCAAGGCGACGAUCCGUAGCCGGCCUGAGAGGGCGGUCGGCCACACUGACACUGACAUACGGGUCAGACUCCUACGGGAGGCAGCAGUCGGGAAUUUUGGGCAAUGGGCGAAAGCCUGACCCAGCAACGCCGCGUGAAGGAUGAAAUCCCUCGGGAUGUAAACUUCGCAAGAACGGGAAGAAUAAGUAGGGGACAAUACCCCCUAUGAUGACGGUACCGUUUGUAAGCUCCGGCUAACUCCGUGCCAGCAGCCGCAGUAAC